AGCCCCUUCCCAGAUGGGGAGUUCAGGUGGAUUCUUCCCACUGCGACCCUUUCUCCUUGGAGGACCCUACAUCUCUCCUAGGAAGGCCUUUGGGACUUAAACUCCACUUGAGUGCGGACAGUAUACAUGUUGUCUUCCAGAAGUACUAGCAUUCACACUGGCCAACCUGACUGUGUUUGAUAGGGGUUUGGCCACAGCAUACGGGCAUUUUAACCCAGCUUUAUUACAGCCACCAAAAUUAGACAAAUUAAUUGCCAAAAUUAACCCCCCUGCAGACAUAUCAAAAUAUACCAGUCUGGGGUUUCAGGCAGGGUAUAACAGAAGGGCAGCUAAUUAAAGCAGCUAAUUUUCAAUGUCUCCACCUCCCCGCCAAAAGUUGACCAGCUCAUGCUUCCAUAAUAUCAGAGAAAAGAAUCUUUCGAAAUCUACAUUAACUUAUCAGUAACAUUUUAGUUAGUGAAAUGUUAGCUUAACUCAACUUCCUUUAAACAGUCCUCAGCUGUCCUCAGCUAUGAUGGUAACUGCUGUGUAGGAUUUGAUCAGUGCUCAUAGGUGAUACAAUAUUAACUACCAUUUAUUGUGCCAGGCCCUGUGCUAGGAAUUUUACGGAGAUUAUCUAAUUCAAUCCUCAGGACAACUGUGGCAGCUAGUCUUCCCCAUUACACAGAUGAGAAAGUUGAGGCUGUGAAAGAUUAACUUGUCUCCAGACCACAAAAUCCCGAACUGGCUAUGCACAGUGCGGGAGCUGAACCAUACUGCCACCUACAGCCGCGCUGACAUCCCUCCUGCUCAGCUCAGCCCAGCUCCCAGGGAGUCCCAGGCCCCAGGCAAAUGAGGAGUGUCUACAGCAGUGGGACAGCUUUGAAUCUGACCUCCGCGGAAAACUUCUUUAAAUGAGAAGUGAGCUAAUCAGUGCUUAAUACAGGGCCCAGGCGGAGGCCAGGAGAGCAGCACUUGCUUCUGCUCCGAAGAGUGGAGCACAUGUGUCCGUGGCGGCCAGAACUGCACCUGCUGCUUAGGAAGGGCCCCAGAGAGAUCGGGGAAAUGAAUGGAACCUCGUAUUGUGAUGGACAAGAAAUAAUAUUGAGGGGGAGCGGGUAUAGGAAAAGGAAGAAUACGGCAAGUAAAAGAUGUAAACAAUCACCUCGAAGACUGUCCAUCCAGAUGCACUUAGGUGUGGCUGCUACGCAUCAGUUAUCAAAAAUGAUGGAACAACUCCUGAGCGAUGAACAUUAUUUUCAAACCACCUGCAGAUAGUAAAGUGUAGUGAAGUUUCCUUGGUCUGUUAAAGCCACAAGAGUUCACAGCUUCUGCCUCCUCUGGUGCCGUGGUGACCCCCACCCGCUUCCCCCAUGUCCAGCAGAGCCCCUCAGGGCUGGCUGGUCCCUUGCUGAGUUUGGGGCCGGCUCUCCGUUGCAGUGACCAGCAGCUGGGUAGAAGGUGGCUGCUGCAGCCCCCACCCUAGCACACUGCCUUCUGACACACGGUCAGUCAGCGGGGUACAAAUGGUCAGUGAGUUCAGUGUUCAGCACAGAACCUGGCCCAAAAUGUCCUCAGUUAACUGUCAGCUUCCUUCACCCUUUCUCAUCCUUGCCAGCAGGGACAGGCUCUCCGGUGACUUUGUACUGGGUCAACUUAGCCACGGGGGUCCGUGCUCCCCGGAAUUCCCUUCCUUGGGGUUGCAAGUGUUGAAAUAAAUUUCUAGGCUGAAGAUGGAGACACUCAUGCCUGGGGUGACCUGUCAGCACACCAAAACGUAGAUGACUUUCAUGUCCUACAAGCACUCGUUUGACCAGAAAUGCAGGGCAUCCAGCCAGCCGUCCCCAGAUGCACUACUAGCUCUGGGCCUCCUCACCCCAAACAAGGCGGGCUCUGCAGCCCCCGCUGAUUGCGUGCUUCCUCUUUGUCUCUUCUUCGUUCUCUAUUCUUUAUCCUGUGAGAGCUUCUUGCCUUCUGCCCCAUUUUGCAAUUUAAAAGGUCCACUUCAUAAAACAUUAAAGUUUGUAUUA